rnacentral:SRP_RNA from 10 species
GCCGGGCGCGGUGGCGCGUGCCUGUAGUCCCAGCUACUAGGGAGGCUGAGGCUGGAGGAUCGCUUGAGUCCAGGAGUUCUGGGCUGCAGUGCGCUAUGCCGAUCGGGUGUCCGCACUAAGUUCGGCAUCAAUAUGGUGACCUCCCGGGAGCGGGGGACCACCAGGUUGCCUAAGGAGGGGUGAACCGGCCCAGGUCGGAAACGGAGCAGGUCAAAACUCCCGUGCUGAUCAGUAGUGGGAUCGCGCCUGUGAAUAGCCACUGCACUCCAGCCUGGGCAACAUAGCGAGACCCUGUCUCU